CCAUAGCCCCGAUGGGAACGGCAUCCUUUUUUGGCAUUGCGGUAGAAUGUUUCAGAUGGAUAAGCAAACGUGGGUCGCAAUGACAAAAAAGAUAUAGUGGACAGCGGGAUCAAGC
rnacentral:sRNA from 1 species